CCUACGGGUGGCAGCAGUGAGGAAUAUUGCACAAUGGGGGGAACCCUGAUGCAGCGACGCCGCGUGGGUGAAGGAGUAUUUCGGUAUGUAAAGCCCUAUCGGCAAGGAAGAAAUUGGACGGUACCUGACUAAGAAGCCCCGGCUAACUACGUGCCAGCAGCCGCGGUAAUACGUAGGGGGCAAGCGUUAUCCGGAUUCACUGGGUGUAAAGGGAGCGUAGACGGCCAUGCAAGCCAGGGGUGAAAGCCCGGGGCCCAACCCCGGGACUGCCCUUGGAACUGCAUGGCUGGAGUGCGGGAGGGGCAGGCGGAAUUCCUGGUGUAGCGGUGAAAUGCGUAGAUAUCAGGAGGAACACCGGCGGCGAAGGCGGCCUGCUGGACCGCGACUGACGUUGAGGCUCGAAAGCGUGGGGAGCGAACAGGAUUAGAUACCCCAGUAGUC
rnacentral:rRNA from 1 species